rnacentral:rRNA from 1 species
UACAGAGGUCUCGAGCGUUAGGCGGAAUCACUGGGCUUAAAGCGUGUGUAGGUGGAUCGUUAAGUACCUUGUGAAAUCCCACGGCUUAACCGUGGAACUGCUUGGUAUACUGGGCGGUCUUGAGCCAGCUAGGGGCUACCGGAACAAAUGGUGGAGCGGUGAAAUGCGUAGAUAUCAGGAGGAACACCGGUGGCGAAGGCGGAUCUCUGGGCCUUACCUGACGCUGAGGCGCGAAAGCCUAGGGGAGCGAACAGG